rnacentral:rRNA from 1 species
GUGACUGCGUACCUUUUGUAUAAUGGGUCAGCGACUUAUAUUCUGUAGCAAGGUUAACCGAAUAGGGGAGCCGAAGGGAAACCGAGUCUUAACUGGGCGUUAAGUUGCAGGGUAUAGACCCGAAACCCGGUGAUCUAGCCAUGGGCAGGUUGAAGGUUGGGUAACACUAACUGGAGGACCGAACCGACUAAUGUUGAAAAAUUAGCGGAUGACUUGUGGCUGGGGGUGAAAGGCCAAUCAAACCGGGAGAUAGCUGGUUCUCCCCGAAAGCUAUUUAGGUAGCGCCUCGUGAAUUCAUCUCCGGGGGUAGAGCACUGUUUCGGCAAGGGGGUCAUCCCGACUUACCAACCCGAUGCAAACUGCGAAUACCGGAGAAUGUUAUCACGGGAGACACACGGCGGGUGCUAACGUCCGUCGUGAAGAGGGAAACAACCCAGACCGCCAGCUAAGGUCCCAAAGUCAUGGUUAAGUGGGAAACGAUGUGGGAAGGCCCAGACAGCCAGGAUGUUGGCUUAGAAGCAGCCAUCAUUUAAAGAAAGCGUAAUAGCUCACUGGUCGAGUCGGCCUGCGCGGAAGAUGUAACGGGGCUAAACCAUGCACCGAAGCUGCGGCAGCGACGCUUAUGCGUUGUUGGGUAGGGGAGCGUUCUGUAAGCCUGCGAAGGUGUGCUGUGAGGCAUGCUGGAGGUAUCAGAAGUGCGAAUGCUGACAUAAGUAACGAUAAAGCGGGUGAAAAGCCCGCUCGCCGGAAGACCAAGGGUUCCUGUCCAACGUUAAUCGGGGCAGGGUGAGUCGACCCCUAAGGCGAGGCCGAAAGGCGUAGUCGAUGGGAAACAGGUUAAUAUUCCUGUACUUGGUGUUACUGCGAAGGGGGGACGGAGAAGGCUAUGUUGGCCGGGCGACGGUUGUCCCGGUUUAAGCGUGUAGGCUGGUUUUCCAGGCAAAUCCGGAAAAUCAAGGCUGAGGCGUGAUGACGAGGCACUACGGUGCUGAAGCAACAAAUGCCCUGCUUCCAGGAAAAGCCUCUAAGCAUCAGGUAACAUCAAAUCGUACCCCAAACCGACACAGGUGGUCAGGUAGAGAAUACCAAGGCGCUUGAGAGAACUCGGGUGAAGGAACUAGGCAAAAUGGUGCCGUAACUUCGGGAGAAGGCACGCUGAUAUGUAGGUGAAGUCCCUCGCGGAUGGAGCUGAAAUCAGUCGAAGAUACCAGCUGGCUGCAACUGUUUAUUAAAAACACAGCACUGUGCAAACACGAAAGUGGACGUAUACGGUGUGACGCCUGCCCGGUGCCGGAAGGUUAAUUGAUGGGGUUAGCGCAAGCGAAGCUCUUGAUCGAAGCCCCGGUAAACGGCGGCCGUAACUAUAACGGUCCUAAGGUAGCGAAAUUCCUUGUCGGGUAAGUUCCGACCUGCACGAAUGGCGUAAUGAUGGCCAGGCUGUCUCCACCCGAGACUCAGUGAAAUUGAACUCGCUGUGAAGAUGCAGUGUACCCGCGGCAAGACGGAAAGACCCCGUGAACCUUUACUAUAGCUUGACACUGAACAUUGAGCCUUGAUGUGUAGGAUAGGUGGGAGGCUUUGAAGUGUGGACGCCAGUCUGCAUGGAGCCGACCUUGAAAUACCACCCUUUAAUGUUUGAUGUUCUAACGU